AUUGAACGCUGGCGGCAUGCUUUACACAUGCAAGUCGAGCGGUAACAGGCCUUCGGGUGCUGACGAGUGGCGCACGGGUGAGUAAUGCAUCGGAACGCACCCAGAGGUGGGGGAUAACGCAGCGAAAGCUGUGCUAAUACCGCAUGUGAUCUGAGGAUGAAAGCGGGGGACCGAGCAGCAAUGUUUGGCCUCGCGCCUUUGGAGCGGCCGAUGUCGGAUUAGCUAGUUGGUGGGGUAAAGGCCUACCAAGGCGACGAUCCGUAGCUGGUCUGAGAGGACGACUAGCCACACUGGGACUGAGACACGGCCCAGACUCCUACGGGAGGCAGCAGUGGGGAAUUUUGGACAAUGGGCGCAAGCCUGAUCCAGCAAUGCCGCGUGCGGGAAGAAGGCCUUCGGGUUGUAAACCGCUUUUGGCAGGAACGAAACGGUGUCCGCUAAUACCGGGCGCUAAUGACGGUACCUGCAGAAUAAGCACCGGCUAACUACGUG
rnacentral:rRNA from 1 species